rnacentral:pre_miRNA from 15 species
GCACACACACACAUAUAUACAUAUAUGUGUGUGUACAUGUGUGUGCACACACGUGUGUGUAUGUGUGUGUGUGUG